rnacentral:rRNA from 1 species
CCUACGGGAGGCUGCAGUGGGGAAUAUUGCACAAUGGGCGAAAGCCUGAUGCAGCAACGCCGCGUGAGCGAUGAAGGCCUUCGGGUCGUAAAGCUCUGUCCUCAAGGAAGAUAAUGACGGUACUUGAGGAGGAAGCCCCGGCUAACUACGUGCCAGCAGCCGCGGUAAUACGUAGGGGGCUAGCGUUAUCCGGAUUUACUGGGCGUAAAGGGUGCGUAGGCGGUCUUUCAAGUCAGGAGUGAAAGGCUACGGCUCAACCGUAGUAAGCUCUUGAAACGGUAAGACUUGAGUGCAGGAGAGGAGAGUGGAAUGCCUAGUGUAGCGGUGAAAUGCGUAGAUAUUAGGAGGAACACCAGUUGCGAAGGCGGCUCUCUGGACUGUAACUGACGCUGAGGCACGAAAGCGUGGGGAGCAAACAGGAUUAGAUACCCUUGUAGUC